CAGGAGAAUCUGGUAAGAGUACGAUAGUGAAGCAGAUGAGGAUUCUUCACAUCGAUGGUUUCAACCCUGAAGAGAAGCAGCAGAAGGUUCAAGACAUCCGGAAGAACGUGAAGGACGCCAUCGUGGCCAUCGUGUCGGCCAUGAGCACGCUGACUCCUCCUGUUCCUCUGAGUAACCCCGGCAACCAGUUCAGACUCGACUACAUCAGGAGCAUCG